UAAUACGUAGGGUGCGAGCGUUAAUCGGAAUUACUGGGCGUAAAGCGUGCGCAGGCGGUUUGGCAAGUCAGAUGUGAAAUCCCCGAGCUCAACUUGGGAACUGCGUUUGAAACUGCCAGACUAGAAUAUGUCAGAGGGGGGUAGAAUUCCACGUGUAGCAGUGAAAUGCGUAGAGAUGUGGAGGAAUACCAAUGGCGAAGGCAGCCCCCUGGGAUAAUAUUGACGCUCAUGCACGAAAGCGUGGGGAGCAAACAGG
rnacentral:rRNA from 2 species